AUUGAACGCUGGCGGCGUGCUUAACACAUGCAAGUCGAGCGGUAACAGGCGUAGCAAUACGUGCUGACGAGCGGCGAACGGGUGCGUAAUACAUGGGAAUCUGCCUAGUAGUGGGGAAUAACCCGGCGAAAGCCGGGCUAAUGCCGCAUACGAUCCACGGAUGAAAGCGGGGGACCUUCGGCCUCGCGCUAUUGGAUGAGCCCACUGUCGGAUUAGCUAGUUGGGAGGUAACGGCUCACCAAGGCGACGAUCCGUAGCUGGUCUGAGAGGACGGCCAGCCACACUGGGACUGAGACACGGCCCAGACUCCUACGGGAGGCAGCAGUGGGGAAUAUUGGACAAUGGGGUAACCCGUGAUCCAGCGACGCCGCGUGUGUGAAGAAGG
rnacentral:rRNA from 1 species